CCGAAUGGGGGAACCCACCCGCAAGGGUAUCCUGCACUGAAUACAUAGGUGUAGGAGGCGAACCCGGGGAACUGAAACAUCUAAGUACCCGGAGGAAAAGAAAUCAAUUGAGAUUCCCACAGUAGCGGCGAGCGACCUGGGAUCAGCCCUAAAGAACUUGGUGUGAUAGCGGAACGGUCUGGAAAGUCCGGCAAUAGAGGGUGAUAGCCCCGUACGCGAAAUCUAUCCUUGUUUUAUUCGAGUAGGUCGGGACACGUGUUAUCUUGACUGAACAUGGGGGGACCAUCCUCCAAGGCUAAAUACUACUGACGACCGA
rnacentral:rRNA from 1 species